rnacentral:rRNA from 1 species
CUACGUGCCAGCAGCCGCGGUAAUACGUAGGGUGCGAGCGUUAGUCGGAAUUAUUGGGCGUAAAGCGAGUGUAGACGGUUAUUUAAGCCAGAUGUGAAAUACCCGAGCCUAACUUGGGAGGUGCAUAUGGAACUGGGUAGCUAGAGUGUGUCAGAGGGAGGUAGAACUCCACGUGUAGCAGUGAAAUGCGUAGAGAUGUGGAAGAAUACCGAUGGCGAAGGCAGCCUCCUGGGAUAACACUGACGUUGAGGCUCGAAAGCGUGGGGAGCAAACAGGAUUAGAUACCCUGGUAGUCCACGCCCUAAACGAUGACAAUUAGCUGUUGGCCCCAUUAAGGGGUGAGUAGCGAAGCUAACGCGUGAAAUUGUCCGCCUGGGGAGUACGGUCGCAAGAUUAAAACUCAAAGGAAUUGACGGGGACCCGCACAAGCGGUGGAUGAUGUGGAUUAAUUCGAUGCAACGCGAAGAACCUUACCUGGUCUUGACAUGUACAGAAGGUUUUAGAGAUAAGACUGUGC